rnacentral:tRNA from 1 species
ACUUUUAUAAUUUAGCGGUUAGAAUUCUAGACUAUAAAUCUAGAAGUUAUAGAUUCGAAUCCUAAUAGUAGUU